CGAGUGAGCGGCAAAAGCUCAAAUUUGAAAUCUGGCUCUUUCAGAGUCCGAGUUGUAAUUUGAAGAAGGUAUCUUUGGGUCUGGCUCUUGUCUAUGUUUCUUGGAACAGAACGUCACAGAGGGUGAGAAUCCCGUGCGAUGAGAUGAUCCAGGCCUAUGUAAAGUUCCUUCGAAGAGUCGAGUUGUUUGGGAAUGCAGCUCUAAGUGGGUGGUAAAUUCCAUCUAAAGCUAAAUAUUGGCGAGAGACCGAUAGCGAACAAGUACAGUGAUGGAAAGAUGAAAAGAACUUUGAAAAGAGAGUGAAAAAGUACGUGAAAUUGUUGAAAGGGAAGGGCUUGAGAUCAGACUUGGUAUUUUGUAUGUUACUUCUUCGGGGGUGGCCUCUACAGUUUAUCGGGCCAGCAUCAGUUUGGGCGGUAGGAGAAUUGCGUUGGAAUGUGGCACGGCUUUGGUUGUGUGUUAUAGCCUUCGUCGAUACUGCCAGCCUAGACUGAGGACUGCGGUUUAUACCUAGGAUGUUGGCAUAAUGAUCUUAAGUCGCCCGUCUUAA
rnacentral:rRNA from 1 species